GAGGGGGGGAAUUUAGGGAAAAGGGGGGGUCGCGCUACCACAGUCGAGCGGGCAUGCAAUAUGUCAGCGGCAGACGGGUGAGUAACGCGCUGGGAACGUACCUUUUGGUUCGGAACAACUGAGGGAAACCUUCGGCAUAAUACCGUAUACCCCUUACGGUUACAAUCUAAAUACGGUGAUCCAACCCCCUCCUCAUNAUAGAUCAUCGGCGUUAUCACUUUGUUUUUAAUUUACCUCCCACUCAUACCCAUAGCAUCUUAUCAUAUAGACACCCCCCUCUGUAGACUCCUCCACUCCUCCUUACAGGAGCAUGGGUAAUUUUUUUUUAUCUGCAACCUGAUCUCUUCCCGCUAUAAGAAAUCCCCUCUACUUAUUUUUCAGCAAACAACGCAGUUCUUAUCCUCGCUAUGACGUACAUUACCUUAA
rnacentral:rRNA from 1 species